GGGGGCGUUUCGGAUUCGACAUGUGUAUCUGCGCGUGAAUUGCACUUCGUAGGUUACGUCUACGUUAAAACGUUACAGUUAAAUAUAACUGCAAACAAAGAAAAUUCUUACGCAUUAGCUGCCUAAAAACCAGCUAGCGUGAUCCUGCUGGGUUAGCCUAGAACUCAGAUUUAGGGUCUCAAAUUGAAUAGGCUACGCUUGCUUGUGCCGUUUGAAUAAGUAAGAAGAGAUGAUCAAGCUCGUCAAUAAUGGUUAGCCAUGCGGUGCGGCGCGCAUUAUUGAUUAAAUUUUAAAUUGUACAGCUAUAAGUGUAGAUGUUGACGUGGCAGUAUGUAUGGACAGGGGUUCAAGUCCCCUCGCCUCCAUUU
rfam:Lactobacillus dextrinicus DSM 20335 NODE_6, whole genome shotgun sequence.